GAUGAACGCUGGCGGCGUGCCUAAUACAUGCCAGUCGAGCGAACAGACGAGGAGCUUGCUCCUCUGACGUUAGCGGCGGACGGGUGAGUAACACGUGGAUAACCUACCUAUAAGACUGGGAUAACUUCGGGAAACCGGAGCUAAUACCGGAUAAUAUAUUGAACCGCAUGGUUCAAUAGUGAAAGACGGUUUUGCUGUCACUUAUAGAUGGAUCCGCGCCGUAUUAGCUAGUUGGUAAGGUAACGGCUUACCAAGGCAACGAUGCGUAGCCGACCUGAGAGGGUGAUCGGCCACACUGGAACUGAGACACGGUCCAGACUCCUACGGGAGGCAGCAGUAGGGAAUCUUCCGCAAUGGGCGAAAGCUUGACGGAGCAACGCCGCGUGAGUGAUGAAGGUCUUCGGAUCGUAAAACUCUGUUAUUAGGGAAGAACAAAUGUGUAAGUAACUAUGCACGUCUUGACGGUACCUAAUCAGAAAGCCACGGCUAACUACGUG
rnacentral:rRNA from 1 species